UACGUAGGUGGCAAGCGUUGUCCGGAUUUAUUGGGUUUAAAGGGUGCGUAGGCGGUUCUAUAAGUCAGUGGUGAAAUACGGCAGCUCAACUGUCGAGAUGCCAUUGAUACUGUGGAACUUGAGUACAGACGAGGUAGGCGGAAUUGACGGUGUAGCGGUGAAAUGCUUAGAUAUCGUCAAGAACACCGAUAGCGAAGGCAGCUUACUAGACUGUAACUGACGCUGAGGCACGAAAGUGUGGGGAUCAAACAGG
rnacentral:rRNA from 1 species